rnacentral:lncRNA from 1 species
AUGCAGCAUGGCCCGGGCCCGGGGCGGAGCGGUGGGACCAGGGCUCUCCGAGUCAGCUCCAGGGCAGGAAGUGGCCCUCUCCUCCUUUCAAAGAGUGUUUCCGGAGCGCCUACUGUGUGCUCCUCCAUGGGGGUGGGGGCACUACCGGGCACAAAGGGUGCCAGUCCCCGUACCUUUGAGCCUCUGGUAGGCAGUCACAAGCCCACAGGACUCUCCACGGAUUCCACCAGUGACCCCAAGUCUGCUCAGAUGAGUGACGCGUUCCUCCCCAUGGCCAGCAGCAGAGCGGACUGAAUGCUGGGUGACAGGCUGGCCUCAAACUCCGGUGCUCAAGGAUAUUCUUGCUUCAGGUUCUCAAAUAGCACUGCACACGUGAAUCCCCAUGCCUGAUGG